UACGUAGGGCGCAAGCGUUGUCCGGAAUUAUUGGGCGUAAAGAGCUCGUAGGCGGUUUGUCGCGUCUGCUGUGAAAACCUAAGGCUCAACCUUGGGCUUGCAGUGGGUACGGGCAGACUAGAGUGCGGUAGGGGUGACUGGAAUUCCUGGUGUAGCGGUGGAAUGCGCAGAUAUCAGGAGGAACACCGAUGGCGAAGGCAGGUCACUGGGCCGCAACUGACGCUGAGGAGCGAAAGCUAGGGGAGCGAACAGG
rnacentral:rRNA from 1 species